rnacentral:rRNA from 1 species
AUGUCUUCGCCGAGCAGAGUGGGAGGAGGAGUUCAGGUAGGUGAUUGCAAUGGUCAUAAUGAUACACCAAUUGGCUCUCGUUGUCCUGGUGGUAAGGAUCGUGGUGGUGAGGGAGGACAUCAAGUGAAUUCUCCAAUUGAAUCUUCUCCCAUAAGUGUGGCCCCUCCUUCUGAGGGUGAUGUUGGUGUGAGCUUUGACCAGAGACAUCCCGUCUUGAUAGAAACACAAUCGUACUCUGUUGAUGGUACAGAGGAAGUUACACAGGAGUGGAUGGUCUCAGAACAGCUUCGUGCACAUAAAUUGAAGCAAAGCAAGAAGAAGUUGAGGUUUGGAAGUGACUCAAAAGAGUGUGCGGAGAAGGAGAAGCAUAGGAGAGCUGCAGAUGGUGCUAAGGACGCAAUGACUGUGGUUCAUCUAAGAGUCUACCCAAGCGUGCCCGUGAUGAUGUCGAUGAAGGUGUUGGUGCUGACUCUGGCAAGGAGGCGUAUGUUGUUCCAAAGGAAGAAGUCUAGUAAGAGCAACGCAACUGAAGAUCAUGCCGAGGGAGAUGAUUCUCGAUUUAACAAGACCAUACGUUUGUCGCUUCCCACUGUUUGCAAGGCUGCUGCUUUAUUGAAAGACGCACACUAUAGUCGUGUUCAGGAUGCUGCAUUCGGUGUUGUCUUUGAACUGACAGUAAAGAAAAAUGUUUCACGCAUUCUUAUGUGCUAUCUGAUGGGAGUGAUUGACCCUACCACCAUGAUAAUGGACUUUGGGAAUGGCAGGGUCCUUCGAAUCAAUCGUGAUGCAGUUCAUCACAUUUUUUAUUUACCUAUGGGACAUCACACUGCACCCACGCCUGCUGCCAGCGGCCAUGAUGACUCAUUGACUACCCUCAAGGAUGAGCUUGGCUUUGACUGUUCAAAAAGUAUAGGUGUCAAGGACUUGCUUGAGAAUCUAAAGGUGUUGGUGGUGGAAGAUGAUCAUGUGAUUAUUGAUCUUGCUAUGAAGGUGUUCUUCCUGAUACUUUACCAGAAUUUGAUGUGCCCCGGGCCUGCAGUUUCUUUGGGUAGAGUUGCUGCAAUGGUACAGAACAUGGAUUAUGUGGCUAUGGCGCAGAUGGACUUUUGCCAGCUUGUUGUUGAUGAGUUGAAGGCAUCUAUGCUUCGCAAAUUUUCAGUUAUGCACAUGUUGACGCCAUGUGUGUCAUACAUGACGACCAAGGACCUGGUGAAGUUAUACUAUGAGGAUGUGCUUGUCAAGGGAACGAUUUACUUGGAAACAUACAAAUUUGGGAACCUGCCGUGGAAGGCGUCAUGUGAUAUUGUGUGCAACCGUCGUGCUGAAGUUGUAUGUGGCAGCUUUGAUGCGAGGCCUAGCACUCAUGCUAGGUUUUAUGAGCCUAUCUGUAGUCAGCUUCCUGCCUGUGAUCAUGAGGUGUUGCGUAAUCGUGGUUUCACGGCUCAUCAGAUGUUUGAUAAUAGAAGCUCUUCUAAACAGACAUUUGUUUGCAGCAAAAAACACGAGGAGAUCGAUGAGCUUCUUUUGAAGGCUGGAGUGGAAUCUUCUGGUGUCCAUCAAUCUAGGGAUGAUGGAAUUGGUCAGACUGGAGUUUCUGCUUGUGAUGUGCACAAAGAUUCCUACGAUGGCUCUGGGAAGGAUGAGGUCUUGGCUGAAGCAUCGUCCCCUCCGGAUGUUGUAGAUGAUGAGUCUUUGGCAGAAGUGAACUGCAGUUCUUUUUCACAUGCAUGUGUUGAUGCUUAUGCAUCGGUUGCCUUUGACGGUGCAGAUCCUUCUGUAGCUCAGGAAUUCCAUCAUGCUAUUUCCCCUAGUCGGCAUGAAGAUUCUGAUUUUGUCAUUGAAAAGCCAUUGGAGAAUGUCGUUCCUGCUGGUAGUGUUGCUGCUUCUCCUGUUUGUCUGGCGGCCAACGAUGUUCCUGAAGUAUCCAUAAUGGAGCCUCAUGUAGCUGAAGUAUCUAAGGACGUUGCAGUUGACCAGACUGUUGUAAAUCCAGAGAAUGCUGAUGUUGCUACAGAAGGGGACAUGAUUGCUUUUAAAACUGAGAUGGCUGAUAUUACCAUUGGCGAAGUUGGUCAAUCUUUUUGGGAUAAAGGGAUGCUCACCACAGGUCUUGUAGAUCUUGGGGUUUCUUUGCUGGUAGAUAAGUUCAAGGGAUCUCUGACGAUGGUUGUCCCGUACCAUAUUUGUACAAGUAUUUGGCAUGGUGGUACUGUAGGCAGGAGUGUUAAAAUGAUGUUCUCUUCAAAAGCCGAGGAACGUGUUGAUAAAAAAGAUAUGCCGGAUGCGGUCAGGAUUUUUAGGAGGAUGGUUAAAAAUAUCAAGCGUGCAUGGAAAGAAGGCAUGAUUGUGUAUUCUAUAUGUUUCAAUUCUUUCAGAUUUGGGAUGGUGCUUGAGUUGCUCAGUUUGGGGUGGAGCACAUUGGCUACAUCAGAAAGGCCAUGCUCUAUAGUUGGCUCACAUCGAGAAAGUUUUGAUGGGGGGCUCCAUGAAGGUUGUACGUCACUGUUUGAGUCCCAGGGUUCUGAGGUGGCUAUGGAGGAUUGUGCCAUUGAAAUCUCUCCGAAUAAUUCUGGUUCUUUGGCUGGAGAUGGUUUGAACAUAGAUGUGGCGUCUGGACCUGAUGGUGGAAGUGUUUCUCGACUUAGCUCUCCACACGAUGUUUUUGAUGUUGAUGAUGAUGAUUUUGUUAUGUCGUGCCUACGCAUCACUAGGACUAGGAGUGCAGCAAUUAAUCGUCCUCCUGUGGAUGAGGCUGAAGUAUUUUCGAACAAGAGGGUAGGUGAGAGGGCUUUUAAGUUGAGAUGUUCUAUAGAGAAAUUGAAGCCUCCGAGGUUCAAAUAUAUUGAUGAGGCGAGGAAAAUAAAGGAUCUUGUUCUCAGCAAAGAUUUUGUAACCAAAUACCACGAGAAUUCGUUCUUUAUGAUGAAUAGUCCUUUUGGUGAUGUCGAAAAUUACAAUGUUGACUAUAUCUAUAAUACAUUUGGCAAAGGAGCUUUAAUAGACUCGUAUCUCAUGGAUUUUGUCAUCAAGUACUGGAAGCAAGAGCCUGAAUUGGGUUUAGUUUAUCGUUCUAGUGAACGUGUGCUACUUUCACCUUUUAUUUAUCAUGUUGUACAUAGCCCGUUUGUUUUAGAAGAUGUAGUUAAGCAGUCCAAGGUUUUUGUGAGCGGCGAUGAAAACCUGCUAGAUGCAAAACUAAUUAUGAUGCCGCACUCCAAGGAUGUUUGUGCUGCCUUUUCUUGCCAGAUGAGGAGGAUGAAUCAGCUGCUGAAGCCGAUUUAUGGUGAAAAGUUGUAUAAAUCUAAGAACCACCCUGACUGGCCUGUUGUUGAAGAUUGGAAUGCAGAGUACAUGUUCCAGCUGUUGUUCAAUCCUUCGAACAUGUUGUAUUAUGAAGACAUGUCACCUAACCUAUGA